UACGAAGGGAGCUAGCGUUGUUCGGAAUCACUGGGCGUAAAGCGCACGUAGGCGGACGUGUCAGUCAGGGGUGAAAUCCCGGAGCUCAACUUCGGAACUGCCUUUGAUACAGCACGUCUUGAGUCCGGAAGAGGUGGGUGGAAUUCCUAGUGUAGAGGUGAAAUUCGUAGAUAUUAGGAGGAACACCGGUGGCGAAGGCGGCUCUCUGGACCACAACUGACGCUGAGGCGCGAAAGCUAGGGGAGCAAACAGG
rnacentral:rRNA from 1 species